ACAGUCACACAUUAGAUACCCGCGUAGUCCUAGCCGUAAACGAUACUCGCUAGGUGUCGGCCACGGUGCGACCGUUGUCGGUGCCGUAGGGAAGCCGUGAAGCGAGCCACCUGGGAAGUACGGCCGCAAGGCUGAAACUUAAAGGAAUUGGCGGGGGAGCACAACAACGGGUGGAGCUUGCGGUUUAAUUGGAUUCAACGCCGGAAAUCUUACCGGGACCGACAGCAACAUGAAGGCCAAGCUGAAGACUUUGCCGGAUUAGCUG
rnacentral:rRNA from 1 species